UAUCUUUUAUAAUCCAUUAAUCCAUCCCCAUGUAAAAAAAUCCAUGAAUUAAUAGGAAAAUAUGUUAGCUACUGAUUUAAUGCACCAUAAAAAUGUAACAUCGUAGCAGAGUUUUGCAUCCCUUUGGCAUAGGUUUCAGUUGUAGACUAUUUGUCUAUGUCACGCCUUUCAACUCAUGCGACAACUUCAGAAGAAAGAAAUGUUACCUGGAGGCUCUCACAAAGUUCCACAGAGCUCCAGGAGGACUCGUCCAAAGGUAUUUUCGGGUCAAAAUCAUCUCUUACCCUCGCAGCGGAAGAGGAUGAAGUCAGUACUACACGCCUUAGAGAUGGGUUCUUCUUACAUGAACGAAGAACAUUUAAUGUGCCUUCAACAGCAGGUACCAGGAUCUCUGCCUAUUGCCAGAGAAAUAGAAGUAAAAACAGUGCAAUUACCAUAAUCAAAUGGUGAAGGUUUGGGAGCUCAUUGCAUUAGCGUUUUUUUUCCCUUUUAAAAAUCAGAUCCCAUUGUAGAAAAGGGCUCAUCUCUCAGAUAGAUUGUUGGCCUGCCCAACUGGGAUUUUCAUUAAGGUAGCUAGCUCCCUCUGAUUAAUUGUUUUUCAGCCACCAUUUGCAGACAAAGCAGAGCAGUAAAGAGAGAAGAAGACUGUACUCAGUGUGGAUCAUAAUAUCACCAAAUAGAUUAAUUUAGGUUAUGUUUGAUUUGAAGAAAAAUAGAUUCAACAUCAAUAAAUUAUUUUUUAGUUAGUUGUAAUGUCACCUGGGCAAAGUCAAGGAAGAGUAAAAAUUUUCUCAAUUGGCUAAUUUUGGUGUGAUUGUGUGGUGGUUGGGAUAGUGGAAUCUACUAUGUAGACUCUAAAUGGCAACAUGUGGGGAUUUGGCUGGGGCAGCACCAAUAAAAGAAGAAAGAGAGGAGAAGAAAGCAACAAGCCUUUGGAUCAGCUCCAAUAAAAGAAGAAAGAGAGGAGAAGAAAGCAACAAACCUUUGGAUCAGCAGCAGAUCCCAUUACUGGUGAAGCAGUGUGGAAGACACCAUGGCACCCCAUAAUUGCCUUGUCAAAACUGCCCUCCUCCAUUAAAUCAGCCCUCACCAAUGUGAGCCUCUCCCUUGCUCCCUCCAGCCUCCACAGAUGUGCCAGCUUCUUGUCAUUUCCUGCUCAUAAUUCAUCAUCUUUUCUCUGUUAAGAAGGCAAGAAAACAAGCAAAAAAGCAGAAGUUACAUGCAAUAAUGAUCAGUGGGUGGUUUCUGUACCUGGAUCUCUAACUGUUCCAGUGACAUGAUACCCAGACAAGAGAAGCCUCUUAACCAGCCAAGAAGCCAGAAACCCAGAUGCCCCCGUUACACAGACGACCAUCUUUUGAUCCAUUAAUUUUCCUUGCUCAAGAAGAAGAAGAAGAAGAUAAGCUGCUGCACCUCUCCUCUCCUACACUUAGUCCAAUACAUAUAUAUAUAUAUCCACGGCUGUUUUAAAAUAUACAUGUUGGAGAAGGUAUGGCUGCACAUGAUAUCCUUGUGACUUUCUACAGGUGAAGGUUGGACUUACAGGUAGGAAAGGCAUCUUAAAAUGGUGCGUUCAUGCUCUUCUUUUUGUGACCUAUUAGUCUACUACCAAGUACCAAGAAGCAUCUACAGAACUUUCAACUACUACGUAUAUGACAAGAAACACUCUUUUUCUUAUUGUUCUCCUCCAUCUCUAAAAAAAAUUAUUUUCAUGUUCAAAAUCACGAGAGAAAACAUUAAUGGAGAUCACAUGAUUCCACAAAGAGCUCUCGCUGCUAACGAUCCCAUCUAGCUAACACAAAAAUAUAAAUGGCAAUGAAAAAUUUUAUUAUAAAAAGAUAGGUAAAAACAUAUUCAUACAUGUUAAAAAUAUAUAUAUAUAUAUAUAUAUAUAUAUAUCUUUAUUUUUCAUCUCAUAGGAACAGCAAAGUCUCUAUAGAAGAAAAGUGGUAUACUAUAAUUAUGUAAGGACACCUGAUGAGUGGCCUCUCGCUGACAGAAAAGUUGAAUAGUAACGUAUCUUCUCACCUAGAAGAUGUGUUGAUUUUUUCUUUUCAACCAAUCAAGUCAAGAUCACAGGUAUAGUUAUGUUAAGUAUAAUGGUCUCAGUACAAGAAAGGUUCUUUCUUUUCUAAUUGAAUUGGGAAGGAAAAAAAAAAAAGAUCAAAUCAAUCCUUUUGAUGCAGACUUAGCAUACUUUAGACCCCUAAAACGAAUUCACAUAAGUAAAAAUAAAAUUUUAGUACAUCAUAAAGUAUGUUUUAUCUUCUAAAUAUGAUAGUGAAUGUCUUAUCAAUACACAAAUGUAUAACUCCUUAGGAAUUUCAAUUGUUAUUUAUUACUGUAUGAAUUGGGUUCAAGCUUUCCCCAGCCCCUUCUCAUCAAUGGACUCCUAACAUAUAUGAAAAAGUGCGAUUCGUUUGAUAAAUUCCUACCUCUAUCUAUCUCGAAGAUGUUUGGAUUUUUCAAAACUCCAUGAAUAUGUAGAAGAUAAUUGAUCAUUUGAUAGUCAAAUUUUACUCAAAAUGUUAUAAAGUUCGGUUCCAAAAAUUAUUAUAAUUCAUUUUUCAAUCGCUUUUAUAGAUAUUUUGCUUUGUAAUCUCUUUUCAACGGGAAAAAAAAAAAAAACACUAUUAAUAAAGUAUUCAUGGGAUAGGUCUACAUCGAAGGAGGCCCUCAAAUAGAUAAAGUUGAAGAUAAGUGCAGGGGAUAUGACCCUUCACCUAACAAGAUUUCAAUGUCUCACAAAGGGACGGUUGGCCUAAAUUUGUUCAGCGCUAAUAAUCCACUUUUAAGGGUUUUUUUUCACAAUCACAUGUGUUUUAAAAAUAUAUAUAUAUUAAAGGAUGGUAAUUAUGAAUUUAUUUUUAAAAAUAAGAGAAGAAUUCUAGGUCAAGGCAAUAAAUUCAUGUCAUAAUCAUUUUUUUAAGACAUAAUUGCAGUACAAAUUCAUAAAUCAUGUAUAUAUUAAAAUUUUAUUUUGAAAAAACAAUUUUACCUCAUAAUUAAUCAUAUCAAAAUGAUCUUUUUAAAAAAUGAUUAUAAAUCUAUAACUAUGCUUAUACUAAAAAUCUUAUUUUGAAAAGAUGAUUUUACUUAAAAUAAAAAAAAUAAAAUAUAAAAUUUUGGAUCUCUGUUAUUAUAAAAUAGUUUUUUGAAAAGAUAAUUUUUGUAUGUAAAUUUUAAAAAAAUAUAUUAUAUUUUUAUAAAUAUUUUAUAAAUCAAACAUAUUUAUGACUCAAUUGACUUUUUUAUUUAAAAACAAAUUUAAAUGAGUCAAAUAUAGAUUACGUAGUUUAAAAUUAUAAUUAUGUUAAUCAACGUAUUAUUAAAUGGGUCAAUUCAGGUCAAAUUCGUGUUAUGUAGGUUGAACAAAAAACUACUUAUUUAUUAAAUGAGUUAUGCAGGUCAAUGCAAAUUUACCCUAAAUCCAAUUAUACUCAACCCAAACUAGCGAAAAACUUGAUGAGUUUGAGUCGUGUUGGUGAAUCAUAUUAAAUUAUGUCGCCCCUAAGUGCACUUAUGUGUACAGUUAUACAUUAGACAGAACCUACGGUAAAUCAUGACAUAAGGUUAUUGGACAGUUAUGACUUCACCAAUUUGUUAUGUCGUAUCGUCUCUCAACCUUGAGAGAAUAUCGAACUUGUGCAAAAAUUUGUAAUGGUUUUAACUAACGAGUGAGAUCUUAAAGUGAUCAUAUAUUACCUAUGGAUUGGAUCACUAUUGGUAAAAGUCGAUAACAACAGGUAUUCUCAAUAAAGGCGUUAUGAUAUUUCAUAAACUUUGAGAUAGUGUGUCUCCUUAGGUAAUCAUAAGGAAGUAUGUUCAAGUAAACCAUGUUCAUAAUAGUUUCUUAAGUGAAACUUGAUAUAAACUCUCUAUGAGUUAUAACAUGUUAGUUUAUCACACAAUAAGAGAAUUUGUAACUUAAGAAUGGUAGAGGUAAUAUUGAUCGAGAGGUUGAUAUCAUUCACCUUAUUAGAUUACAUAGCGGAUAAUAAGUCACAAAUUUGAGCACUCUCAAUGUUAUUUGCAUAGACUACUGGAAUGCAGUUGACUUUCUAUAUUGAAAUGUUAAAUCAACUUCAAAAUUGAAUUUUAAAAUAGCUAAUAUUGUCCUAUGGGUUCCAAUAGUCCAUGUUUGAACUCAUAUUCUUAUAUGACAUGGUUUAUGAGGGUUGCAUUGGUUUUUGGUGUCCUUAUGUGUGUUUAAAUAUGCAAGGUUGUAUAAGAAUUAGUAAACACUAUCUUUGGACUGAAUUAAUUAAUUAACUAGAACUAUAUUAGAUUAAUUAAUCAAUUAGGACUCAUUUUGGCUUAAUCGAAUAGCUCAAGCCCAAGGGAAGCCUAUAAAUACCCCUUUAAGAGUUAGACCUUCAUACUUUUGUCAUUCUCCCUUAUGUUCUAGAAUUAUAGUCAUGGUAAAAUAAUGGAUGUAAUGACCCAUGUCCAAUCGUUUAGAUGGUCUACUUUGAGUCUAAUAAGCUCUCAUGACUUUAAAACACGUCUACAAAAUUUAAAAUGUUAAAGAGCAUGAUAUUUAUUGUAAACCUAAAUCCUGCAAAUUUAAACUUUUAGAAAAAUUGUUAGUUUAACAUAGUAUCAGAAUUUCAUUUGAUGGGAGGUCAUGUGUUCAAGUCACCACUUAAUAAUUUGCAUAUUUGUUUCUUUAUUUGCAUAUUUGUAAGUUAAAAAAGGGCAAUUGUUUGCCUUCAAACCUAUAUCUCUCCAAGUACGAGUAUGGGGUCACACGUGAGAGAGAGUGUUUAAGAGGAUGAUAUACAUAAAUUGUUAGUUUAACAAAUAGGAGUUCAUACAUAUAUAACAACACAAGUUUAAAACGUGUUUAUAAGAUCAAGAGAAGUUUAUACAUAUAUAGUGCUUCGAUUUUUUUUCCCUAUAAGAUGUGAGAUAUAACAUUGAUGGAAAUGAUUAACAUUAACAUUUCUAAAUGUAGAAUAAUUAUCUCUUUUUGCUCUCUUUCUCACUGAAAGGUUGUUUAUACGCAAAUGAUGAUCUCAUCAAAUUAGACUUGACCCAAAUGGCCUUCCUCCACCAAAGAGGCAAUGCAGUCAUCAAACAUAUCCUGGAUGGACUUGAACUUGAACCCCAAGCUCUUCAACUUUGAAGUGUUGAACUCAACGUAUGGUAUGUCCAAGGCAUCAGACCUGAGAUUCCCAUACAGAUUAAUUGAAUAAAUAACCAAAUGGUGGUGUCCUCAGGAUGAUAAUGGUUUAUAGAAACUCACACAACCCCAAAAACCCCACAUAGAAUCCAGUUAUUUACAUCACAGAAUAUUGAUCGAUACAGAGACUGCUAACCUCUUUGGUAUAGGUAAGGAUGGAUAGCGAGCCGACAGCAAGGAGGUUAACUCAUUGUCGUCCAGCUCUGCAGAGCUACAAAGGUAUCGUCCAUGGGCGUCUUCGUGCUCAUAAACAAGGAUCGAUGUGGCAGAGUGCAACAUCAUCGAUGUGAACAUAUUCCAUCCUUCCAAACCAUCUGCAUUUCUCAGUCUCCCCUGUUUGUUCCAAUUCAGUCUUUCCAUUCCUAUGCUUAUGAACAUAUAUUAUCAUUAUGAGAAUAACAAGAGAAUAGACCAACUACCUUUAAGCAAGGCAAGGGUAUUAGAUGCAGUAGAGCAUAAAUCAGGUGGCAGGCCAGGUCCAACAACACAUGAGGGAACAAUAGUCACCAAAUCGAUUCCAUUCUCCUCGCAGAAUUCCCAUGCCGCCUUCUCAGCUAGGACUUUUGAUAGAGCAUACCAUAUCUUUUGUAAUGCAUUAAUCCAACCCCAUGUAAAAAAGACGACGAAUUAAUAGGAAAAGAUGUUAGCUACUGAUUUAAUGUAACAACAUAUGAAAUGCAGGUUUAUUUGUGUCCCAACUUCCUGAUUUCUUUCACCAAUGAGCUUGUCUGUAUCAGGCAACCCCACUGCACUUCCAUGGUGUAGAGUCUGCCUAAGUGAUUUAAGUGAAGUAACACAGGACUGGAGUAGGUUUGCUUCUCCUAGACUAUAUGUCUAUGUCACUCUUUUGAGCUUAAAGUAUAAGUCUAUAUAACUUGCUACAUAUACAGGGUUUACUGACAAAUAAUAUCAGAUGAGACAUACUUUCAGAAGAAAGAGAUGUUACCUGGAGGCGCUCACAAAAUUCCACAGAGCUCCAGGAUGACUCAUCCUGCAGAGGUAUUUUUGGGUCAAAAUCAUCUCUUGCCCUCACAGCUGAAGUGGAUGAGGUGAGUACUACACGCCUUAGAGACGGGUUCUUCUUACAUGAACGAAGCACAUUUAGUGUUCCUUCAACAGCAGGUACCAGGAUCUCUGCCU
rnacentral:lncRNA from 1 species